UUCAUUAACGAAGCUCAAACUUCAAAAGAAAUUUUUCCGUAACACAUCCAAGCCAUCAAAAUUAAGAUUGGAUAGGUUGUAAAUUAUCUAUAAAAUCCCAUAUAAAAUUGACGCUUUAUAUAAGGAAAUGUGGAUAGUGAUUGUCUAAUGGUAUAGCAUCUCGCGCCUUACUUGACAGGACAGACGGAGAAAGGUGGUGCGUCAAAAAUCAAUUAAAAUGGCGGUCUUCUCACCAUUUUCUCUCUCUAAGCCCCCCAUUCUCUUUCCAAAACCCCUCUCAAUGCGUAAUGAGCAGAGAAACAGCCACGUUCAUGGAGGUGUAACGUAGAUUCUGAGGAACGUCCGUUACAUCCCCGUCUCCUUCUCAUACGUGGCAUGACGUCAUUGGCUGGAGCUGUGCUUGUUAACGGGAGCCUAACGGCGCUAGGGUUGAGAGCAGAGGAAGAAGAAGCGGAAAGGGGUUCAGAGGAUGAGGAUAAAGGGUUUUUGGGGGAGAUACAGUCACUGUUCGACCCCAAUGAGAAAACUAAAUCCGGGAAGGUUUCUCUAUAAACUCUCUAAUUUUAUAUUGUCCUGAAUUUGAAGUGAAUUUCCGCAAAAAUUUGCCCAUUGAAUGAAGAAGUUAAGUUGAAAUUUUGGCUGCAAAGAUAAAUUUGGAUGCUUAAGAUCUUAUAAUUUUAUCUCAUUUUAGUUUGAAGCCAAAUUUUGCUUAAAUUUAAAACCAGGAUUUCUUUAGUAAAUUUUAUGGCGUUUUCUUUCUGUUUUUAGGAAAAUUAUAAGUAUUUUCGUUUGAAUAAUAUCUUAUUUCUCUUUUAUAAUUUUAAAUGCUUCAGAAAUUCCACACUGUUCAGACGACCUAAUUGCAAAAGUUCAAUUCCAUAAAAACAAGAUUGGGUUUUUUUCUUGAUAGUUAAAUGGCAUGAAAUAUAGAUCUGGGUCCUAGCUGUUUGUAUAUCUCCAAAAAAAUUAAUUGAGCAGAACCCAUUAUUUCACUUAACUAGUUACACAAUUUGUAAAUAUCAUGCAUAUAUGUAGUCGCCCCAAAACAAUAUCAUGAAUAUGUUUAUGCAGUGCUUUAAGACUCCUCUGAGUAACUCAGCCUCACCCGGUUGGCAAGCCGGGUUGGGGUGCCCAACUUGCCGGGUACCCAAAUAGUUAAAAAAUAUUUAAAAUGUUAAAAGAUACAAAAAUGUGAAAAAUACGAAUAUAUUUAUGAGAAAUAUGUUUUUAUAUGAUUUUGAUGGUAAAACUGAGUAUGGAA